AUUGAACGCUGGCGGCAGGCCUAACACAUGCAAGUCGAACGAGUGGCGGACGGGUGAGUAAUGUCUGGGAAACUGCCUGAUGGAGGGGGAUAACUACUGGAAACGGUAGCUAAUACCGCAUACCAUCGGAUGUGCCCAGAUGGGAUUAGCUAGUAGGUGGGGUAACGGCUCACCUAGGCGACGAUCCCUAGCUGGUCUGAGAGGAUAAGAAGACACACGGGAACGGAGACACGGUCUACAGUCACACGGGAGGCAGCAGUGGGGAAUAUUGGACAAUGGGCGAAAGACUGAUCCAGCCAUGCGGCGUGUGUGAAGAAGGUCUUCGGAUUGUAAAGCACUUUAAGUUGGGAGGCGUUACCAACAGAAUAAGCACCGGCUAACUUCGUGCCAGCAGCCGCGGUAAUAC
rnacentral:rRNA from 1 species